CGUAAUAAAUUAAUCUGUGAUAAUUGUUAAAUUCCUGUUAAACUGGGACUGCAGCCAUAUUUUUGCCGUUUCGUAUUUUACUUUGAAAGUCUACGGCGGAAGUCUGUCUUGGCUAAAUGCACUUUAGCUAGCAGCAGCAAACGAUCUGUGCUGUGGGCGGGAACAGACGUCUGGUCGACUGGCAGGAGGACUGACCCAGUAGAUGCUGGUUUCUGCUGUGAAGAACGUUGCUGAGAUACGGAGAGAUGACGAUCUCCACCAGACGCUCCAGCUGCACCAGCAGCAUCUGUGUCACCGCUGGAGGGACGGAGGCUGAACUUCCCAGAGUCUCCUCUAGGUGGAGCUUCAGCAGCACCAGGUCUCUGAAGGCCAGCAAAGCCAUCUGCCUGACGAUUCAAUCAGGACUCUGGUCUUGGACUCUGGAACCACCUGAGCUCACCUGAGUGGAGGAGGAUCUGGUCAAGGACUUCAGACAGGCCUCGAGUCAGCAGCUGGUUCUGGAACACAGAAACAGAAAUCGUGUUUUCAUUGUUGGUGCUGGAACAUUAUUUCAGUGGAGACAGCAUGCUCACAGAGUUAUAGAAUCUGUUUUUAAAGAAAAACACAAGGCAUGUAGCAGGACAGGCCUGCUUACUGUAACAUUCUCUGCAUUAAGCAUUAUCUAGUCAAACGUCUAUUUAUAAUCACAUUUGAUCACAAUGAUAAAGUCUGAAACAGAGGAGCAGCUCAUACUGAUGAACAUUAAAGUAUUACAGAUAUCUCUGCUUGGUAAAGACUGAGCCUCAUAGUUUAACAUGAGCACUCUGGAUCUGACCAAAUAAAAAUAGAAAAAUACUCAAAUACAGAGAAAAGGAAUUUAAUAAUAAAAACCAAGACUUCUUGCCAGCAGACAGACAUAAAACAGACUGAUUUUAAACAGACUUUAUAUGUAACUAUAUUUUCUAUCACUGCUGCUGGUAAAGCUUCA